AGUUCUGGUUACUUUGACGUUAACCUGCCAUGUGACUUCAAGUCACCAGCAGUAGGUGGCGUUCUGCCAAGGUUUCCACCACAUCGCUAAGGCCCCUUCCAGCCUAAGGCUCCUUCUAGUGACAACCUGUGGACAGUGGCCGGCCACACUCUGAUAACCUUCAGGAAAUGUAUUCUCCCAUUUGUACCUACAGUUACCUCCUAGGUAAAGCCAAGCUGGGUCAUGGGUGAUUUGCUCCCUGCUUACAGCUGGAACUCUCUUUCUUCUUCCACUGGCCUGUGAUGGGCCAACAUAAUAGAACCUUAACACUCACUGGGAUACCUAGUGCAGCACCUAGCACAGCCAAAUCUAGCUCAUCUGAACCAUUGCCCUCCAGUUAUAAGGGAGGAAAGGGAGAAUGACUCAGCUCAAAGGAACUGCUUAGAUAUGGAUACAGCAUGCUACUUCUCAUGUAAGUCUUCAAAAUCCAGUGUGUAUUUUACAUUUAUGGUACAUCUCCAGUACUCAAGCCUCCUUUCAAAUGAACAAUAGCCACAAGGGACUGGUGGCUUCCACAUGGGACAGGAUGGGUCUAGACUGAAUUUCUUCAUUCAUAACAAAGCUGCAUUUCCCUCUUUGGAGUUUGUAGGUUGAGGCAAGGUGAGCACAGGCUUUGGUUGCUCAAUGAUGAUAAAGAACAUGCACAACCUAUAAGCAGGAGAA